rnacentral:rRNA from 1 species
UACGUAGGGUGCGAGCGUUGUCCGGAAUUAUUGGGCGUAAAGAGCUCGUAGGCGGUGUGUCACGUCGGCCGUGAAAACCUGCAGCUUAACUGUGGGCGUGCGGUCGAUACGGGCAUGACUGGAGUUCGGUAGGGGAGACUGGAAUUCCUGGUGUAGCGGUGAAAUGCGCAGAUAUCAGGAGGAACACCGGUGGCGAAGGCGGGUCUCUGGGCCGAUACUGACGCUGAGGAGCGAAAGCGUGGGGAGCGAACAGGA